UGAUGACUGCUGUCGCCCCAAACGGACUUCGUAAGCAUGACCGAUUCGACUUCAAUAGCCAAACACACUGAAAAUUCUGA